AGAAGAAAACUGAAAGGAUGGAUACUUUUAAAACAACAGAAAAAGAACAAUACUGGGACGAAUAUCCUGAUAUUCAGAAUUCGAUCUAUCUGAAUUCUUCAAUGAAAAACUCUCACUUGAGUAGAUCUUGGCCUGCUCUGAGACUAGACGAUUCCCAAUCCUUAGAUGAAACAAAAUUUGCUUCAAAUAAGAAAAUGGGAAACUUACACAGACAAAGAACAGAGCAUCAAAAAUGAAGAAAGUUGCAAUCAACAUUCAUCUGCAUAUAAAUGCUUGACAUUUUAUGAGUCACAUGAAAAAAACACUCCUUUACCAUUUCAUACGUGUACAUUAAAGUAUUUUUGUAAAAGAAAGAAAGUUUGUAAUUUUUAAGAUUUGUUAUUUUAAGCUUAUGCUUUAAUUUCUGUAA